rnacentral:rRNA from 1 species
UACGGAGGGUGCGAGCGUUGUCCGGAAUCACUGGGCGUAAAGGGCGCGUAGGCGGCGCGGGCAGUCAACGGUGAAAGCUCGGGGCUCAACUCCGAGUCGGCCGUCGAUACUCCCGUGCUCGAGCACUGUAGAGGCAGGUGGAAUUCCGGGUGUAGCGGUGGAAUGCGUAGAGAUCCGGAAGAACACCGGUGGCGAAGGCGGCCUGCUGGGCAGUUGCUGACACUGAGGCGCGACGAGCGUGGGGAGCAAACAGG